rnacentral:tRNA from 1 species
AUUUAUAUAGUUUAAAAAAAACAUUACAUUUUCACUGUAAUAAUAAAUAUCUAAUUUUAUAAAUU